UUUCCUCUCUCUUCUUUCCCUCUCAUCACUCUCUUCUCUCUCUCCAAGACUACCGGCGCCGCCCAUCGCCGCCGCCUGAAAUGGCCCAUCAGCGGCGGCCGACCUCUAAUCCGUCCCAAAAUUUAACCAUGUAAUAUCCAUAACUUCCUCUUUCCAUAUCUCUAAACCAUAUCCUUCAAAAUACUCUCAAACUCUUUGAAUCUUAGAUCUAAGAAAUUUUCCCGUUACUUUUUCGCCCAAGUUAUUGAAGUUCCGGCCACUACCACCCCACAAUACAUACAUCAACAGAUAGAGCACCUCAAGACCUAGCUAUUGAUGUCAAUUCAACCUCAAAAAUUCGGCGACCAAAAUCUGGCCAAAUUCUGGCGACCUCUCCGAACAUCCUUCUUGGCAUACCACCAUUUUUUCGGCCAUUUGAAUUGUAAAAUGGUAAAAUACUAUUCUUUUUCAUGGCUGAUUUUUAUUUUUUAUUUUUUAUUUUUCAUUUUCAGAUUUUUUAUUUUUAUUAUUAAUUAUUUAGCAUUAGUUUUUGAAGUUUGAAAUAUUAAAUUUUCUGUUUUUGCACUUGCUGAAAUAGUAAAAUAGUUUUGUACUGAUAAAAGUGAAGUAGUGAAAAAUACUUAAGAGUAUAUGGUAUUUGUUUGUUCGUUUAUUUACUACUUCAAGACUUUUUGAGUAUAAAAAUCAAAAGUCAUUUGUUUGGUAAGAAAUAUAGACUUUUGACAAGACAUUUUGAGCACAAAAUUCAAAAGUCAUUUGUUUGGUAAGAAUAUAGACUUUUGAACAAUUUUUGAACAAAAGUCUAUCCUUGAACAACGAACUGUAGAUUUUUAUUUGAAAUACUCUCUUUUUUAGAAGAUUUGGUGAAGAAAGUCAUGAUCUUUGAAUUUAAGAGCAUACUUUGUAGAAAAUCGGUCAAAAAGAUUAUUUUUUGAAUUUUUAAAAUAGCUUCUUUUUUUUUUCAGUAAUAAAUUUUCUCUUGAUACUCAGAAAACUUUACAAGAUUAAGCUCUAGUAGUAGCUUUGACUUGCUACUACUCCUUUACAUCACAAUUGGCCUCCACUAAGUACCUACCUAUUCUUUCACUAAAUACAGACUUAGUAUAUUAGCAACUCUAUUACAUUCUACAAACUAUAGAAAUCUGUUAAGUUGUUGUAAAGCAUCUUUCCAUCUGCUACAGUUCUUGCCUCGAAUCUGAAUGCAGUUAAGUUGUCGUAAAGCAUCUUUUCAUCUGCUACAGUUCUUGCCUCGAAUCUGAAUGUGUAGAACAAUCUCCCUGCAUAAUUGGUUCUCUUCAUACUUUUUUUGUCAAAUCUGAUGUUGUUCCUCUCCCUCCAUAUUAGUGCAAUGAUACUUGCAAAUACACAGGCAGUUAUAGAAUUAAUCCCUACUCUGCUUUUUGCUUUCCUACAGAUCCACUUCAUUUCAAUUUCCCAAUCCCCAAUAUUCCUCUUAUGCCCCAACCAUAAACAAAGUCUAGACCACAAACUUUUUGUGAUUGCACAUUCAAAAAAUAAGUGGUUAAAAGAUUCUAGACUUUGUCCACAGAAAGCACAUCCUGCAGGCACUUGAAUUCCAAUCUUCUGUAACCUGUCCACUGUUGGUAGUCUCUGUUGUGCAACUAGCCAAACUGUGAAUAUGUGUCUAGGAUGAAUAUUGGAAAGCAACAUUAAACUCUUCCAUUCAACUUUGCUAAAUUCAGGAGUCAGUGUUAAGUACAUCUGCUUGUUUUGGAAUUUAUCUUGCUUGCACAUUGUUUGCAGUCUGCUAUGCAAACUCCCCUGAAGCUGCUGAUUCUCCAUGAUGACGUCCCUAUUAACUAGUAUUUUCCUCACUACCCAAGAGGCUGACUUAGGAGUGUUCAUUCUUUCAAUAUCUCUCUUCUUAAUGUAAUAACUAUGUACCCAUAUCAUCCACAGACAAUCCUUCUUUCUGGUUAAAUCCCAAAGUUGUUUACUAACUGCUGCUUUGUUCCAUACCUUUAUGUCUAAAAUAUUUAGUCCACCAGCUUCUAUUUGCCUGCAUACUCUCUCCCAUGCAACUAAUGCCUUUUUGGAGAAGCUAGCAUUCCCAGUACAAUAAAAUAUUUAGUCCACCAGCUGCAAUUGGCAUGCAUACUCUCUCCCAUGCAACUAAUGCCUUUUUUGAGAAGCUAGCAUUCCCAGUCCAAAGAAAUGUUCUACAGAUGGUUUCAAUGGUUUCAUUACUUUCUUUGGAAUAACGAAAACUUGAGCCCAAUAAGUUUGGAUACCAAAGAUGAUAGCUUUGAUCAGUUGACAUCUACCAACAUAAGAUAGUAAUUUUGCAGACCAACAUGUUAUCUUUACUGUUAUCUUCUCAAUCAAAGGCAAAUAAUGACAAACAACAAGUUUCUUGGAAAUUAAAGGGAUCCCCAGAUACUUAAAUGGAAGCUUGCCUUCAGUAAAUCCCAAUGUAGCAUAAGAUAGCAAUUUUGCAGACCAACAAGUUAUCUUUACUUUUAUCUUCUCAAUCAAAGGCAAAUAAUGAAAAACAAAAAGUUUCUUAGAAUAUAAAGGGAUCCCCAGAUAUUUAAUGGAAGCUUGCCUUUAGUAAAUCCCAAUGUUUCCAGUAUUUCCUCUCUAGUAUUCUGCUUUACCCCUGCCAUAUAUAUUGCACUCUUGUUUACAUUAGCUUGCAGCCCAGAUGCUUCUGAGAAUCUAUUAAAAGCCUCCUUUAAAAUCUUAAUUCAUCCAUAAUCAGCUCUUUCUAGUUUUUAGCUUGCGUCCCAGAGGCUACUGAGAAUCUAUUAAAAGCCUCCUUUGAAAUCUUGAUUCAUCCAUAAUCAGCUCUACAGUACAUUAGUAAGUCAUUAGCAAAGCAUACAUGAGUACUGUUCAGCUUCCUGCAUUUAGGAUGAAAAUUGAAGUCCCCGUUCUUAUGCAGCUGUCCCAGUUCUCUAUUCAAAUAUUCCAUUGCAAUCAAAAAUAGAUAAGGUGACAUAGGGUCACCUUGUCUAAUACCUCUCUUAGCUUUGAAAGAUUUUGUUAAGCCACCAUUCAGAACUAGAGAGUAUGAGACAGUAGUGACACAGGUCAUUAUCCACUCUUAGCUUUGAAAGGUUUUGUUAAGCCACCAUUCAGAACUAGAGAGUAUGAGACAGUAGUGACACAUGUCAUUAUCCAUUGAACAAAAUUAGCAGGGAAUCCCAGAUCAAUGAGAACCUGUUUAAGAAAGCUCCACUCCAGAGUAUCAUAUGCCUUCCUCAGAUCCACCUUUAAUACACAUCUAGGAGAUACUCCUUUCCUAGAAUAGCCUUUAAAAAUUUCAUGGCUGAGUAGUAUGUUAUCAACUAUACUUCUUCCUUCAUUGAAAGCUGACUGACUUUCCAUUUUUCUUUUUAACCAUUAUGACGUUGGCGACCCAUUCCGGGUACUUGGACUCCCUGAUGGAGCCAUUAGUCAGCAGCUUGUCUACUUCUUCACUCACCACUUCAUUGAUGGCGGCGUUGAAUUUUCUUCUUGCCAACUGCACGGGCGAGUGUAAUGGGUCGAUGUUAAGUUUGUGGGAGGCAAUUUCUCAUUUAAUUCCUGGCAUAUCUGCAUGGGAAAAAAUGAAUAGGUCCGCAUGGUUAGAUAAAAAUUCACGGUACUGACCUCGAUUUGAUAGGUCGUGGCCUAUGUAAGCUUUCUUUGCGGGGUCGCUGAUGGCGGCGUUGAAUUUUCUUCUUGCCUGCCGCAUGGUGGGUGUAAUGGGUCGACGUUAUCACACUUUUCAUUCUUCUUGUAAUGACUUUGGAGAUGAUCUUAUACAAAGUAGUGCAUCAAGCUAUAGGCCUGUAGUCGUUAACUGUUGCUGGAGUUUUUACUUUUGGAACAAGUGCAAUAGCUGUUGUAUUUAUCAUUUGAGGCAGUCUAUUUGUGAAGAAAAUCUUUAACUGUUGCAGGAGUUUUUACUUUAGGAACAAGUGCAAUAGCUGUUGUAUUUACCAUUUGAGGCAGUCUAUUUGUGGAGAAGAAAUCCUUUGCAGCAGCAAGUAUAUCAUCCUUAACUAUCUCCUAGUUCCUGGAAAAGAACUCCACUACGAAUCCAUCCACUCCUGGUGCUUUAUCCUUGGGCAUCUCCCUUAUUGCUUCUGUGAUCUCCUCCAUUGUAAUCUCCUGUAUCAGCUGUCUUUAUUGUGAUAUAGUUAAGCAAGUUCCUUCUUUUAUAAUAGCUGCGUUAGCACAUGGUAACUCCUCGGCACAUUCCCCCAUCAAUGAUUGGAAGACACUUAUAAACUCGUGUUCAACUAAUUUGGGAUCUGUUAGCUUCAUACCCGUAUCAGUAUAUAUUGGUGCUUUAUCCUUAGGCAUCUCCCAUAUUGCUUCUGUGAUCUCCUGUAUCAGCUGUCUUUGUUGUGAUAUAGUUAAGCAAGUUCCUUCUUUUAUAAUAGCUAUGUUAGCACAUGGUAACUCCUCAGCACAUUCUCCCAUCAAUGAUUGGAAGACACUUAUAAACUNNNNNNNNNNNNNNNNNNNNNNNNNNNNNNNNNNNNNNNNNNNNNNNNNAACCCACACAGGAACUGUACUUAGCAUAUCCUUCUUCAACUAACUUGGGAUCCGUUAGCUUCAUACAUGUAUAGUAUAUAUGGAAGUUAAGUUGUUUUGGCUGGUUCUGAUUUUCCAUUGGGCAUGGAAGUACUUUGUGUUAGCACCACCACAUUCAAUCCAGCAAGCCUUAGAUUUCUGUCUCAUUGUUUGUUCCUCCACAUUACUCCAUUUCUCAAUUUCUUCUAAUGUUGCUUUCUCUUUAUUAAACAGUGCCUGUGAUAAUGGAUAUUGCUGCAACUGGCUUUGUAUAAUACCCAGUUUCUCUCUAACCUGCUCAAGUCUUUGUCUAUAUGAAGCCAUAUAAGCAUUUAUCUCCUUUAGCUGUUCUUUCAUAUUCUUUAAUUUACUCCAUAUCUGCUGCAUAGGUGCUCCCUCAUAGCCUUGUUUCCAGACUUGCUGUAUAGUUUUUUGAAGUUGAGGAUUCUCCAUAAUAUUUGUAUACAAUUUGAAAGGUUUAGGAUGCAACAAGUACUGCCCACCACAUUUGAUAAGGACAUAGCCUUGGUUCCAGACUUGUUGUAUAGUUUUUUGGAACUAAGGAUUCUCCAUAAUAUUUGUAUACAAUCUUAAAGGUUUAGGAUGCAACAACUUCUGCCUACCGCAUUUGAUAAGGAUGGGAGAAUGGUCAGAUACUGAUGGAUUCAUAAAAUCAGCUUCUAUAUACCCAUACUGUUGAAUCCACUGGUAAUUACCCAAUGCCCAAUCAAUCUUACUAUACACCCUUGUUGCAAAACCUUGCUUGUUUGUCCAAGUGAAGUGCCAACCUUUAGCUAGGAGAGGAGCAAGCUGUAAAUCAUCAAUGACAUCUUUAAACCCUUUUCCUCCAGCAUCAGUUAAAGAUGAGCCAAUUCUAUCUUCAAAACUUAGAAAAUUAAUAAAAUCACCACUAAGCAACCAAGUUUCCUGAUUGGAUAUAUACAUUUGUCUUAGAUCUCUCCACAACUGUUCUUUUUGGCUUCCAUUAUUUUGAGCAUAAAUGAUAUUUAGGUUUAUUUUGAAUUGACUGUUAGUGUCUUUAAUACAACACUAAAUAAACUGGUCAGUCAUAUGGAUGAUUUGAACCUGAAUAUGAGCUUUCCAAAGAAGCCAAAUCCUCCCAUUCACAGCUUUUGAAUAGUUGCAACAUACAUUCCAUCCUUUUGCAAUUUUUCCUUGGAUUUUCUUUGCUUUAUGCUCCUUUACUCUAGUCUUUAUACAACCCAUAACAUCUACUUUAUUUAUAGCAAGAAAGGUCUUCAACUCUUUCUGCUUAUGGGCUAGGUUUAGCCCCCUAAUAUUCCAAGUGACAAUAAUCAUAUCAACUUGGAAUUUAGGGGAUGUGAAGGCCCUGGAUCAAUCUGUUGUCCCCUUCUUCCAGCAUCUAUCACAUCAGCAAUUGCCUUACCGUUAUUGCAAUUACCUUCCAUUUCCUCAAUGCUGCAAUUAGGUUCACUAUUAUCUGUUUCCUUCCUUUCCUGAAUCUCAGCACCCUACUUUGCAUCCUGCUGAGUACUCACCAUUCUAUUUGUGGACUUUUCCAAGCCCUCAUUCUUCCUGCUAUGUUCUGUUUGUACUGGUAAACACUCAUGUGUAUUUAUUCCUGUUCUUUCUCGAGUCUUCUUAACAAGCUUGCUUUACAUUUUUGCCUUGUUUCUUUGCUUUUAUCCUCUGUCUCUUUGGUCUUUCCCCUUCUUUCAUCUCCUGUUCUUCUUUACAGUUUGUAUUAUACCAGCAUCAAUAGAAUCAUGCCCAAACUUCAGAAACUCAUUGCAGAAAACAGGCUUCCGAUCAUAUUCAAUCAACUGAAUCUUAGGCCCAAAAGGAGAUUCUAUCUCUAUUUGGUCAGGUAGAGGGUAUGAAACAUCUACCUCCACUAGCACUCUAGCAUAGGAGAUUUUCUCAUAAUGAGCUGUAAAUUUGUCCGUAUACAAGGGUUUCCCCACUGCACCAGCCAUUUUGCUCAAAGCUUCAGUUGACCAAUAACCUACAUGUAGCCCAGGAAACCUAACCCACACAGGAACUGUACUUAGCAUAUCCUUAUGAAAAGAAAAAUCAAUUUCCCAUGGUUUCAAUACCAUCGGUUUGUUCCUGUAAGCAUAAGACCCUGAUUGGAUAACUUGAUCUCUAUCCUCUAUAGUGUUGAUAAGUAUAAGGCCCUGAUUGGAUAACUUGAUCUCUAUCCUCUAUAGUGUUGAAUCUAAAAAUGCAGUAGCCCUCAGAAUGAAUCAGAAUCUGAGGCUUAGUAAAAAAAAUUCCACAUAUUCAGCACGAAAUUUUCCAUAGCUUUCUCAUAAGGGUUCUCUCCAAUUAUGUAACCAAUUAGAGAAGUUUUCCAAUAAUCAACCUGUGAUUUCAAGUAAUCUUCACUUAAUUUGACAAUCUUCUUACCAUCUUUAUCAGUUGGAGGAACAAAUGAAAGUGGUUUACCCAUUUGUGAGCUACGAUUCCCUCGAACAAUCUCAGCAGCAGUAGGAGUUGGUUUCUCGGAUCCACUUGCUUCUGAAAACUGUAAGCGUCUCACAGCUAGGUUAGUUUUUUCUUCCAUUUUUAUUGACUGAAUUAAUACUUCAUCCUUAGAGCUACCAUCUUCAUGAACCUCCUCAAUCAAUUGGAACUUAUGUGGGAGAAAGCUUCCAAAAGUUAGUGGUUGUAAUUCCUUCGUAACACCAUGAGCUGGAGUAAUGAUUUGAGCAUUAGUAGAAGGCACGUUUUUCCGGCGACGGGCCAUUGUUUCCGGCCACAAUUGCAAUCCUUGCUAUCAUGCGCCAAGAGCAACAGUUAUGACAUAUAUAGAUGGAAUCACACUUUCGAAAAGGCAGAGAGGAAAAUUGCAAAAACACACAAAAAAUAAGGGAGAGGAGAGAGCAGUAUACACUUAAUAUACAUUCUGGAUACACUCAGUAUACGCUGACAGAAUUUAAUUUUUGGAGAAUUUCAGCAGUAUACACUCAAUAUACACUCUGGAUACACCCAGUAUACAUGAACAUAAUUUAAGUUUGAGAGUUUAUUUUGAGAGUUGAAGAGAGUUAAAAGCUAGAAAGAGAAAACAAAGAGAGAUUUUCGAAAUAUUUUUCUUCUCUAUUUUUUACUAAUUUUCUCCGUGUUGCUGGGAUUUCUGGAUUGAGGUGUUAAAACUACUGUGCUGGUUCUUACUAUUGCUGUUAUUGUUUGCUACUGCUCUGCUGAUUCUCAUCUUCCUCUUCUUUUGCUUUUCAUACCAGGUACACUUUUGAACCACUGCGAUGUAGCUAUAAGAUGUACAUGUGAAAUGAAAUGCUAGGAAAUUGAUGAAUCAUGUGUUGUAUCUGUAGUUUAAUAGAUUAUGUGAUAAGUAUUUGUAUAGUCUAUUUCCAUUACUCAAUAAAGAUGC
rnacentral:lncRNA from 1 species